UACGGAGGUGGCAAGCGUUGCUCGGAAUCACUGGGCGUAAAGGGCGCGUAGGCGGGGAGGUAAGUCGGGUGUGAAAUCCCUCGGCCCAACUGAGGAACUGCGCCCGAGACUGCUUCUCUUGAGUCCCGGAGAGGCAGAUGGAAUUCCGGGUGUAGCGGUGGAAUGCGUAGAGAUCCGGAAGAACACCGGUGGCGAAGGCGGUCUGCUGGGCAGUAGCUGACACUGAGGCGCGACAGCGUGGGGAGCAAACAGG
rnacentral:rRNA from 1 species